GGGGAUGUAGCUCAGUGGUAGAGCGCAUGCUUCGCUUGUAUGAGGUCCUGGGUUCAAUUCCCAGGAUCUCCA
rnacentral:tRNA from 1 species